rnacentral:rRNA from 1 species
GACGAACGCUGGCGGCGUGCCUAAUACAUGCAAGUCGAACGCAUUUUCUUUCACCGUAGCUUGCUACACCGAAAGAAAAUGAGUGGCGAACGGGUGAGUAACACGUGGGUAACCUGCCCAUCAGCGGGGGAUAACACUUGGAAACAGGUGCUAAUACCGCAUAAUUCCAUUUACCGCAUGGUAGAUGGGUGAAAGGCGCUUUUGCGUCACUGAUGGAUGGACCCGCGGUGCAUUAGCUAGUUGGUGGGGUAACGGCCUACCAAGGCUGCGAUGCAUAGCCGACCUGGGAGGGUGGUCGGCCACACUGGGACUGAGACACGGCCCAGACUCCUACGGGAGGCAGCAGGAGGGAAUCUUCGGCAAUGGACGCAAGUCUGACCGAGCAACGCCGCGGGAGUGAAGAAGGUUUUCGGAUCGUAAAACUCUGUUGUUAGAGAAGAACAAGGAUGAGAGUGGAAAGUUCAUCCCUUGACGGUAUCUAACCAGAAAGCCACGGCUAACUACGUG